GAUUUCUGGUGUGGUGCGCUCGGCCCGUGGCCGCAAGGUCACGUGUGUUGAUGUGUGCCCAUCAUCCUUGCUAUGAUGGCGGCUGUGCCUUUACUGGUACGGUCGAUCAACCGUCUAGCAUCUUUUACUUUGAAAAAAUUAGAGUGUUUAAAGCAAGCAAUUGCUCUGAAUACAUUAGCAUGGAAUAAUAAUCUAGGACUUUGUUCUUAUUUUGUUGGUUUCUAGGAAUGAAGUAAUGAUUGAUAGGGACAGUUGGGGGUGCUAGUAUUCAGUGGCCAGAGGUGAAAUUCUUGGAUUCACUGAAGACUAACUUAUGCGAAAGCAUU
rnacentral:rRNA from 1 species